rnacentral:rRNA from 1 species
CCUACGGGGUGCAGCAGUGAGGAAUAUUGGUCAAUGGACGGAAGUCUGAACCAGCCAUGCCGCGUGCAGGAAGACGGCUCUAUGAGUUGUAAACUGCUUUUGUACAAGGGUAAACCUGAAUACGUGUAUUCAGCUGAAAGUACUGUACGAAUAAGGCUCGGCUAACUCCGUGCCAGCAGCCGCGGUAAUACGGAGGAUCCAAGCGUUAUCCGGAUUUAUUGGGUUUAAAGGGUGCGUAGGCGGAUUGAUAAGUUAGAGGUGAAAUGUCCGAGCUUAACUCGGGAACUGCCUCUAAUACUGGUGAUCUAGAGAGUAGAUGCGGUAGGCGGAAUGUAUGGUGUAGCGGUGAAAUGCUUAGAGAUCAUACAGAACACCGAUUGCGAAGGCAGCUUACCAAUCUAUAUCUGACGUUGAGGCACGAAAGCGUGGGGAGCGAACAGGAUUAGAUACCCCUGUAGUC